rnacentral:rRNA from 1 species
GAUCAUGGCUCAGGAUGAACGCUAGCUACAGGCUUAACACAUGCAAGUCGAGGGGAAACGAUAUUGGAAGCUUGCUUCCGAUAGGCGUCGACCGGCGCACGGGUGAGUAACGCGUAUCCAACCUGCCCACCACGUUGGGAUAACCUUGCGAAAGUAAGACUAAUACCCAAUGAUAUCUCUAGAAGACAUCUGAAAGAGAUUAAAGAUUCAUCGGUGAUGGAUGGGGAUGCGU